rnacentral:rRNA from 1 species
GUUGGGAUAAAAAGAAGGAGAAAGCAAAGAGAAAAUGAGAAAUUGUUUUUCAUUGUUUUUCUUUCGUUUUAAUUUAUUUGGUGAAUUGAGGUAAUUGAGUUUGCCUUGUCACCGUAUCACCUUGAACAAAGCAUGUCGCUCAAAAUGGGGUCUUCAGACAAGGAGUGUUGAGCAUGGAAUGAGAGAAUAUGAGAAGGAAAAAAAGAAGAGAGUGAUCUUGGAGGUUUUCUUCUAAUGGCAAAUGGGAAUUAUAGGAGGAAGUUCGUAUUAUAAAGCUAGAGGUGAAAUUCUUGGAUUUUUAUAAGACGAACUAAGGCGAAGGCAUUCUUCAACGGAAUAUCCGUCGAUCAAAGAACGAUAGAAGGGGGAUCGAAGACGAUCAGAUACCGUCGUAGUCUCUUCAGUAAACUAUGCCGUCUUUGAAUGGGGGAAGCGAUUUAAGUUUGAAGAGCUGUAAAAAAGGUUUGGAAAACUAAUGUCCAAUCUCCGCGCAAUAAAAG